GACCACGAGGCCAUGAGUCGAUGAUAACUCGUUGAUGGUUUGCAACCAUCUGGAUCGCAACGCCUAUGCUCCCAACCAUCUAGUUCUACUUCUCGUAGAUGCAUCUCUCAGGCAUUUAACUCUUGUUCCUAGUUGACACGUUUAUGUUUGUGGACAAAAGUGCAACCUAUGAUGAUGUGGUCUACCUUGAGUACUUCAUCGACUUGACGAAGAUUCAUGAGUACAACUGGGGGGUUGCCAUUUUGGUCUACCUACACUCGAAGUUGGGGGAUGGUUAUCUAUGGAAGACAAAACACGUGAAAGAGAGUUGAAUGCUGCUUACAGGAUGGACCAUCUCCUACUUCCCUCGCGUUACCGGGAGGAAAGCUGUGCUUGCCUACAACGAGUAUUGGCCACGUGUUGCCGCAUUUUUCUCGUACAAGGGGUUAUAAUGCAGUCAAACCAUUCAGAGUGUAUCUUGGUUGUCAUGUACCAAGUGACGUUUCCUUCUGCCCAUAUGAGGGUCACCGCGAGACACGUCAGUUUGACAUCAUUUCCUUAUACUCCGGAUGAUUGGUUAUUCCGAGACACCAUAUGAGUCUGUUCCUCCCACCAUCCGCUGCAGAGAUCUUGAUGCGAUACCAGAUGCUUUCGAGAGUGACUUGGUACUAGAUGAGUAUUGCAGGGUACAAACUUCUUUUCAGUGGGUUGUAUCUAACGCCUACAUAACAUGGUUCUAUAGAGUUUCACGCGAUAUCAUGAUACUAGACGCUUCUAGAAUACGACAUAUGCUAACUAAUCAGGAUGAUUGCACCUGUUAGAAAUGAUAGAAGAGUUUUUCAUUUUGCUGUAACAUAAUUUCUCUAUUGUGUAUAAUCUGUUAGUUACAAAAGGUGAGAACAAGCUAUAUAUAGCAAAGAUAUGU